GCGGGCUUUGAGGCUUGAUAGUCAGGUCCUACUUCCGGUUCCUCUCUCUGGUUCCGGAAAGCUGAAGCAAUGCGGACUGGCUGCGAAUUCCGCUGUGAAUUCCACCCAGAUGUACUCCAGGAUGGACUUCUCUCUCCCUUCAAUUGUAUCUGGUUGCAGCAACAAGCAUUGCAAGUUGGCGGAGGUCCAGAAUUACCAUCUUCACAUUGUACAAAAGUUUACUGCGUGCCACAGGAGAGCGACGGCCUAUACUUGACUGUGGAUGGGAUUUCCAUGUGAACCUGAGGCAGGAGGCUGCCCAGCAUCACUGCCUGCUCAUGGUGCUCCCUGCCCACUCUCUAAGUUCCUGUCAUCAGCUAGCAAACAGGGAGAUCCUGUCUGCUCUAUAUCUCUACCUGUGGACCCUUUAUUUAUUUAGACACUUAUUUUCUUUAGGUUGUAUAAGUACAAAAUGAGCAAUGAAAUGUCCUUUAUCUCCAAACAAGACAGGACCCAGGGGUGAGCAGGGGCCAUACUGAAACUAUCAGUAGAUCUGCUAGUAGUAUCUUUCCCAAUUAAAAAUGGCAUCUUAUUAAAUGUGUAUGAGUGUAUAAGUUACUCUUCUUUUUAUUAUUACUGAUAAUAAGUUGAUGUGUGGAGAGAUAGACAGGUGUAUGUCAUAGCUCGACACAAGUGCAGGGUAGAGGGCAACUUGAGGGAGUUCGUUCUCCCCUUCCAUCUUUAUAGGAUGUGGGGAUUAAACUCAUGUCCCCAGGAAACUUGAGGGACAAUGGAUUUAUUUGGUCCGAGGCUCAAGGAACAGAGUCUCUCCUGAAUGGAUGACCUUGGCGCCAGCUCUUGUCUAUGGUACAAGAAAGCUGUACCAUAUCUCAUCAGACCAGGAAACUUUGCCUAUAAAACGGAGAAACAAUAUGGUCCAGGUUACAACUGACGAGAGGAUAAUAAGGCACAAUACACCUCAAAGGGGAAUUGUUAUUCUCACGGGACAGAUAGAGGAGGUGCUUUUGCACCAACUCCCCUAAUUCUCUUUGGUCAUCUCCUCAGUAAAUAGUUACUGCGAUUCACUUCAAAUUCUCAGGCAAUCUAUCACAUUGGAUGAACUUUAUUGGUAAAUUUUCACAGGCACAUUGAGCCCUGGGUCACCAAGCGUCACCUUGCUUUCUGAUGACAUCUCCCUGGUUCCCCAAAUGACAAAUCACACUGUUCUUUAUGCUCAGUGCCUCCGAUAUCAUAACUCACAACAGAUGCAUCAAUACAAAAAUUGAAUUUGCAAUUUCCC
rnacentral:lncRNA from 1 species